rnacentral:rRNA from 1 species
AUUGAACGCUGGCGGAAUGCUUUACACAUGCAAGUCGAGCGGCAGCGCGGGGGCAACCCUGGCGGCGAGCGGCGAACGGGUGAGUAAUGUAUCGGAACGUACCCAGUCGUGGGGGAUAACUAUCCGAAAGGAUAGCUAAUACCGCAUACGACCUGAGGGUGAAAGCGGGGGACCGUAAGGCCUCGCGCGAUUGGAGCGGCCGAUAUCGGAUUAGCUAGUUGGUGAGGUAAAGGCUCACCAAGGCGACGAUCCGUAGCUGGUCUGAGAGGAUGAUCCGCCACACUGGGACUGAGACACGGCCCAGACUCCUACGGGAGGCAGCAGUGGGGAAUUUUGGACAAUGGGCGAAAGCCUGAUCCAGCCAUGCCGCGUGAGUGAAGAAGGCCUUCGGGUUGUAAAGCUCUUUCCUAGGAGGGACGGAAGGGUGACCGGUGAACAGCCGUGUCACUUGACGGUACCUCCACAACGAAGACACCGGCU